GACGAACGCUGGCGGCGUGCUUAACACAUGCAAGUCGAACGGAAAGGCCCUGCUUUUGUGGGGUGCUCGAGUGGCGAACGGGUGAGUAACACGUGAGUAACCUGCCCUUGACUUUGGGAUAACUUCAGGAAACUGGGGCUAAUACCGGAUAGGAGCUCCUGCUGCAUGGUGGGGGUUGGAAAGUUUCGGCGGUUGGGGAUGGACUCGCGGCUUAUCAGCUUGUUGGUGGGGUAGUGGCUUACCAAGGCUUUGACGGGUAGCCGGCCUGAGAGGGUGACCGGCCACAUUGGGACUGAGAUACGGCCCAGACUCCUACGGGAGGCAGCAGUAGGGAAUAUUGCACAAGGGGCGGAAGCCUGAUGCAGCAACGCCGCGUGCGGGAUGACGGCCUUCGGGUUGGAAACCGCUUUAGCCUGUGACGAAGCGCGAGUGACGGUAAUGGGUAAAGAAGAACCGGCUAACUACGUG
rnacentral:rRNA from 1 species